rnacentral:rRNA from 1 species
AUACGAAGGGGGCAAGCGUUGUUCGGAAUAACUGGGCGUAAAGCGCACGUAGGCGGAAUGUUAAGUUAGAGGUGAAAUCCCAGGGCUCAACCCUGGAACUGCCUUUAAUACUGGCAAUCUAGAGACCGAGAGAGGUGAGUGGAAUUCCGAGUGUAGAGGUGAAAUUCGUAGAUAUUCGGAGGAACACCAGUGGCGAAGGCGGCUCACUGGCUCGGUACUGACGCUGAGGUGCGAAAGCGUGGGGAGCAAACGGGAUUAGAAACCCUAGUAGUCC